UACCAGCACCCCGAGUGGUCGGGACGAUUAUUGGGCCUAAAGCAUCCGUAGCCGGUCCUGCAAGUCUUCCGUUAAAUCCAACUGCUCAACAGGUGGGCUGCGGAGGAUACUACAGAGCUAGGAGGCAGGAGAGGCAAGCGGUACUCAGUGGGUAGGGGUAAAAUCCGUUGAUCCAUUGAAGACCACCAGUGGCGAAGGCGGCUUGCCAGAAUGCGCUCGACGGUGAGGGAUGAAAGCUGGGGGAGCAAACCGG
rnacentral:rRNA from 1 species